AUUGAACGCUGGCGGCAUGCCUUACACAUGCAAGUCGAACGGCAGCACGGGAGCAAUCCUGGUGGCGAGUGGCGAACGGGUGAGUAAUACAUCGGAACGUGCCCAGUAGUGGGGGAUAACCCGGCGAAAGCCGGACUAAUACCGCAUACGACCUACGGGUGAAAGCAGGGGAUCGCAAGACCUUGCGCUAUCGGAGCGGCCGAUGUCAGAUUAGCUUGUUGGCGGGGUAAAAGCCCACCAAGGCGACGAUCUGUAGCUGGUCUGAGAGGACGACCAGCCACACUGGGACUGAGACACGGCCCAGACUCCUACGGGAGGCAGCAGU
rnacentral:rRNA from 1 species